GCGCCCGUAGCUCAGUAGGAUAGAGCAACGGAUUUCUAAUCCGUCGGUCGGGGGUUCGAAUCCCUCCGGGCGUG
rnacentral:tRNA from 1 species